CGCCCGCCGCCACAGAGGCGUCCGUAUCCAGGACGAAGUCUUCCCGACCCAGCUCGAAGUUGCGCGGGCAUUCUUCAGCUACGGCGACCCUGCUGCCCCGGGGAAGCGGCAGCACCAGCAGACAGGCUAGCAGGGCGAAGAUCUCUGUCAUGAGCCAAGUUGAAGAUCCUCUUCCCUCCGUGAUUGAAGCACCAGGAACUUCCACUUAACAAUUUUUUGGCAGAAUGGCACCUGGUCUUGGGGUUCCACAAUCAACCGUUGUUGUUUGUCAUGCCAAAGGCUCAGCCUAAGAGACCGGCUCGGAUUCGGAAGCCUAGGAUCUUGGGGCUCUGUAGGUGGGCUGAUCAAGGGUUGGUGUCAUGACAGGAGACAUGAGUGUCAACAGGAGUGACUGUGCGGCUGGAGAUCUUUGCAAUCUUCAGGCACAGAGCUCAAAAAAAGCGAUGUAACGGACUUUUAACAUCGUAAAUCAGCGAAUUGUUUGUUAUGUCUCGCCGCUCACUGGGAAAAUGGAGACACCUCUUCCUCCCUUAUUAGGGACAGAGACAGAACAAAGUAUGUCGAAUACCGGGUGAAAUGCAAAGUCUUUGGGGUAACUGCAAGUCUGUGUCUUUGCUGUUGCUUUGCUCACGCUUGAGUUCUUGGUGGUGGUGCUGAUGCCUUUUUU